ACGCUGGCGGCAGGCUUAACACAUGCAAGUCGCAGCGCACUCUUCGGAGUGAGCGGCGGACGGGUUAGUAACGCGUGGGAAUGUACCCAGAUCUAAGGAAUAGCCUCGGGAAACUGAGAGUAAUACCUUAUACGCCCUUCGGGGGAAAGAUUUAUCGGAUUUGGAUCAGCCCGCGUUAGAUUAGAUAGUUGGUGGGGUAAUGGCCUACCAAGUCUACGAUCUAUAGCUGGUUUUAGAGGAUGAUCAGCAACACUGGGACUGAGACACGGCCCAGACUCCUACGGGAGGCAGCAGUGGGGAAUCUUGGACAAUGGGCGCAAGCCUGAUCCAGCCAUGCCGCGUGAGUGAUGAAGGCCUUAGGGUCGUAAAGCUCUUUCGCCAGGGAUGAUAAUGACAGUACCUGGUAAAGAAACCCCGGCUAACUCCGUGCCAGCAGCCGCGGUAAUACGGAGGGGGUUAGCGUUGUUCGGAAUUACUGGGCGUAAAGCGUACGUAGGCGGGUUGUUAAGUUAGAGGUGAAAUCCCAGGGCUCAACCCUGGAACUGCCUUUAAUACUGGCAACCUAGAGUUCGAGAGAGGUGAGUGGAAUUCCGAGUGUAGAGGUGAAAUUCGUAGAUAUUCGGAGGAACACCAGUGGCGAAGGCGGCUCACUGGCUCGAUACUGACGCUGAGGUACGAAAGUGUGGGGAGC
rnacentral:rRNA from 1 species